UACGGGGGGAGCAAGCGUUGUUCGGAUUUACUGGGCGUAAAGGGCGUGUAGGCGGCCUGUGCAAGUCAGUUGUGAAAUCUCCGGGCUUAACUCGGAACGGUCAACUGAUACUGCUCGGCUAGAGUGCGGAAGGGGCAACUGGAAUUCUUGGUGUAGCGGUGAAAUGCGUAGAUAUCAAGAGGAACACCUGCGGCGAAGGCGGGUUGCUGGGCCGACACUGACGCUGAUGCGCGAAAGCUAGGGGAGCGAACGGG
rnacentral:rRNA from 1 species